ACAUAGAUGCAGGAUACAGUAAUAUUUUUCAUUUAUCUCUUUAGUUUUCUAUUUCCCUUAAUCUGUUUCUUUUACUUACGUACAUUUAUAUGUGUCCUGUUUUUCUCUCUUCAAUUGUUACAGGGGUGGACAACUACAUCUACCUUCAUAUGUGAUGCGGAUACAUGGAGCAAGAAAAAGAGUGAAAAGAGCCCCUAAAAGGCAGUUACAAAUUAGCUUUGUAAGUUCAUGAACCACUGAUUAAUUCAAUCUUAAAUCUAGAGAUUGUGUUUGCUUUGUAUGCUCGCAUCAGGAAAAUUGAGACACUUGUUCUUUUUUUUAUCAUAUCUAGGCUCUUCAUACUAUGAGAUGUAGCAAAUGGGGAACAAAAAAAGAGUAAUUUCUGUUGUUGACAAAAUAUGGGAUGGUGGCGGUCAUUUGCCGAUUGGUUGUCCCUGAUGACAUUAGUUACUCUAUACUUCAACUUUAUGUUGCUCGGAUUCUCCGAAAAUAUCGUCGGGUGCGUGUCAGAUUCUCCAAAAGCAGUGAGAAUCCGAUACGGGUGCAGCAGUAUUUCGAGAGUCCGCGCAACAUAACUUCAACUAUCCUUAUAAGAUUCAUAAGGAACUUUAUCUCUCAUUUAUAAGUAGAUGAAUCUAAUAAGUUGUGUAAAUGGUUCAAGUCAAGAACUGCAAUCGCUGUAGUUUCUGUCGUCUGCAGGUCCUUUGUCAAAAGAAUCAGAUAUAGAGGAUGAUUCACUACUCACGAUGUGGAAUUGGAUAGGUAAAUCUGUCAAGAAGAGAAUAGAGAAACUUCUCACAACGAUUUGACGUCAAGCUCAAAACUUCUUAUAGUCUCCAAUUGUUUCUUCGUUUUAUCUUCUAGAUACUAAUGCUUCCAAUAAUAUCUGAAAGUAUAUAUAGCAAAUUUUAUUGGGGCGAAGUUAUAAUCUCAAAUCAUAUAAUUUUUGUAUCUGUUGGAUUUUCAUUCUAAGGCUUGCUUCUCCAUGGUUGAACAUAUAGUGCAUAAAAUGAAAGAUGAAGAAAGUUUCUUCUACCCGCACAACCUUGAUUAUCAAGGUCGUGCAUACUCCAUGCAUCCAAUUAAACUAUUUUUGUUCUAAAAACUGUCAGGGUGUCCUAAAGUUUGCAUAGGGCAGUCUGAAGAUACAUUUAAAUUGGAAAUAUAUUUGUUGGUCAUGUGGACAAAUCAUUAGUUGAGGGUGAAAUAGUUUCUAUUGAAUAAUUUAACCAUUUCUACUGGAAAAAUCGCUCGAAGGAAGUGACUGACAUGUGGUUUCUAUUAAAGUAGUUCGUCAGCAUGAUUGGCAAUAUUUUAGUCGGAGCUUUAUGAACGACGUUCCUCACCAAUUGAUAGGUCAUGUAUUCCAAAUUAUUUGGUGUUGAAUCCAUAACAACUCGGAGAUUUUCCUUUGUUUGUUCCACUAACUAAUGGAAAAGUUCCAUCAAAAGAAUUCGUCUUUUUGGUAUUCUUCUCAAAGUCACUGAAUACAGGUAAAUGAAAGUUGUCAAUUCAUGGUUGGCCUAGAGACUGGUGUACUCAAGUUGCAUCUGGAAUAUCUUUUCAUUUAUGGCUUUGAGAGAAAUUGCUAAGUAUUUUAUUCUUUGUGACUCAUUUUCUCUGUGAUAUACUUUUUUUGUAUUAAAUUGUUAACAUUCUCAUUACCAUAAAUCUCAUUUUCAUAUCUGCCCAUUCACCUACUAACUUGAUUGAGUUAACAACAAACAUUGCCCACCUCCCUGUUUGGUUUCAGUCAUGUGAAGAUCGUUGAAAGAUGAUAUCUUGGCCUAAAGCUAAGCAAUUUAUUAAAAAUCAGCCUUCUCUGCUUGCAUAUCUCUCACUAGUUAAAUUCAAAUUUUUGUUCUUUUUUGUUCUUUACCUUUUAUUUUGGUGAGCACUAACAAUUAAUCAUUACGUACAGGCGUUCUUUGUGAUGAGCUGUUAAGAAGAAAGCUAAGAAGAAGAGUGUACAACUUGUAACAAUCCAAGCCAGCACCAAAGCUCUUGCACUCCUUCAUUUUCCUACUAUAUAGGGAGUUUCUUUCUCUUCGACAAUUGUCACUCUUGCCAAAGAUGUAAAACUCUCUGAUUUACCCUCGUAUUACUUGGAAAGCCCUCUCCUGCGUUCAUAUACUGAAAGAUUUAAACAUGCUACGUACCCCUCAAAUUCACAAAGCUUCUCAUGAUAUAUAUAUAUAUAUAUAUAUAUAUAUAUAUAUACACACACACACUAGCUAAGAGAUAGAUAAUUUUUCUUCAUAGCAGGGUUUUCUUUUUUCAACUUAGAUCACUUACUUGAUGGGUAAUUGCGCCAUAAGGGUUGAUAAAUCGAACAAAGACGAAGUACAUGAAGUGGAUGAGGAUGCAUCAUCCACUGUUUCUAGUGAAGAAGAGCAAGAUGCAUUUGAAAUCGUUGAUUCUCCAACGGACGUACGAAGAUGAAGGGCUAUUAUUGUCACAACGAUCUUGAUUGCCUUCAGUGAUCAUACAUAAAGAACGAUGAUCUUUAUCCUCCAUAUUACUAACACAUCGAAACCAUUGAUCUUGAAACAUGCCAUCCCCACCCCCAUUUAAUUUUCGGUAAUUCUUGAUAUCGGAGAAGAAGAUAUAUCCAACAAAAAAAGGGGAAAAGAAGCAACUAUUUUUGAGUCAGCGUGCCUUAUCUUCGCAUUCGAGAUCAUCUUUUUCUCUAUAUAUGGUUGGUUUCAAAUGAAUGUCUUGAAUAGAGUGGCACUAACUUGAAGAAGACAAGCACGACGAACCAAUCGUACAUAUAAGUUUAAUUUAAUGCAGCGAAAAUUUAAAUUUUACACAAUUUAAAUUAUAAUUAAAUGUAAUUUAUAUCUAUAUAUAC
rnacentral:lncRNA from 1 species